rnacentral:rRNA from 1 species
AUUGAACGCUGGCGGCAGGCCUAACACAUGCAAGUCGAGCGGACGAAGGGAGCUUUCUCCUGGGUUCAGCGGCGGACGGGUGAGUAAUGCAUAGGAAUCUGCCUGGCAGUGGGGGAUAACGUCAGGAAACGGGCGCUAAUACCGCAUACGUCCAGAUGGUGAAAGUGGGGGUUCUUCGGACCUCACGCUAUUUGAUGAGCCUAGGUCGGAUUAGCUAGUUGGUUGGGUAAAGGCCUACCAAGGCGACGAUCCGUAACUGGUCUGAGAGGAUGAUCAGUCACACUGGAACUGAGACACGGUCCAGACUCCUACGGGAGGCAGCAGUGGGGAAUAUUGGACAAUGGGCGAAAGCCUGAUCCAGCCAUGCCGCGUGUGUGAAGAAGGUCUUCGGAUUGUAAAGCACUUUAAGUUGGGAGGAAGAGCAGUAAGUUAAUACCUUGCUGUUUUGACGUUACCAACAGAAUAAGCACCGGCUAACUUCGUG